rnacentral:SRP_RNA from 1 species
GCUGGGUGCAGUGGUGGGCGCCUGUAGUCCCAGGUACUCGGGAGGCUGAGGCAGGAGAAUUGCUUGAACCCGGGAGUCAGAGUUUGCAGUGAGCCGAGAUCGUGCCACUGCACUCCAGCCUGGGUGACAGAGCAAGACUCUGCCUCAA